ensembl:lncRNA
AUGUCUGAAAAGCAUAGAAACCUUCCUCCCUGGAUGGUGAAGUCUGACGUUCAAAGAAACAAAGACAAUGAAGCGGUGAAGAAGAAAACGCGUGGUGAAACCACAAAAAGGAUAGCGAAGAAGCAGCUCAAAAGUGUCACGUACUUGAUGAACGAGCAGGAGCUCGUGGAAACGGCACUCCGCCUUUUGAAGGAUGAUGAGGCAUGUGCUAAAGAUGGAAUGCAAGCCCCAGAGGAGCUAAGGAUCAUUCCGGAGACAGAUGAAGACACGUCAGACUCGGACGUGCAGGACAGAACACAUGUUUCAAACAUUGCAGAGCAGGAGACUGUGCCAUAUGGAAACUGCAUGGAAGAAAGUAGCAGCACAAAACCAGCCUGCCAUCAGAAGCCUCCUUCUGAUGUUUCAGGAGCUUCCCAGAAGCAUGAUGCGGAUGAUGAGGCUCUAGAACUUGUGCGAGAGAUUUUUUUUCCCAAAUAAUUUAAACCUGAAGUCACAAAGUUUAGUGCUAGCAAACAUAAUUUUACCAAAUAUUUAAAGAGAUACUUCAUAAUUUAGUCAUCCUCAUGUCACUGCAAUCCUGCCUGUUUUUCUUCUGUGGAGCACAAAAGGUGAUAUUUUGAAGAAUGUCUUGGUCACUCUUUUCCAUUCAGUUACAGCCAAUGCCAGUUUUCAACCUUCAAAAAGGACAACAAAAAUAAUAAUAAUGAUGGCCAAAUAGCUCAGGUUUGGGACAACAUGAGG